rnacentral:rRNA from 1 species
CCUACGGGAGGCAGCAGUGGGGAAUAUUGCAUUCCUGGGGGAAACCCUGAUGCAGCCAUGCCGCGUGUGUGAAGAAGGCCUUCGGGUUGUAAAGCACUUUCAGCGAGGAGGAAAGGUUGGCGCCUAAUACGUGUCAACUGUGACGUUACUCGCAGAAGAAGCACCGGCUAACUCCGUGCCAGCAGCCGCGGUAAU